rnacentral:rRNA from 1 species
GAUGAACGCUGGCGGCGUGCCUAAUACAUGCAAGUCGAACGGGAGGCGGUUUUCGGAUCGCCAAGAGUGGCGCACGGGUGAGUAACACGUAGCUCACGUGCCCCGAAGCGUGGGAUAACGUUUCGAAAGGAACGCUAAUACCGCAUAAGCUCACGGGUUGUAGAGACCUGCGAGAAAAGGUUUACCACUUCGGGAGCGGGCUGCGGCCUAUCAGGUAGUUGGUGGGGUAAAAGCCUACCAAGCCGACGACGGGUAGGGGGCCUGAGAGGGUGGUCCCCCACACUGGGACUGAGACACGGCCCAGACUCCUACGGGAGGCAGCAGUAAGGAAUAUUGCUCAAUGGGCGCAAGCCUGAAGCAGCGACGCCGCGUGGGUGAUGAAGGUCUUCGGAUCGUAAAGCCCUUUUUUAGGUGACGAGAACGGACGGUAGCCUAAGAAUAAGUCUCGGCUAACUACGUGC